rnacentral:lncRNA from 1 species
GUUCUUUCACUCCUCGGCGAGUGAGCUCCUGGCAGCCUCACCCUUUUGCACAUGACGCGUCUCCCCGGGUCUCCCGCAGGCAGGCCUCGCUCCUCCCUCCGCCAGGCCUGCCCGGGAGGCCUCGACCCGGCGAGGUGACCCGCCCCAGGGUCGCCAGCGCGAGGACGAGGCUGGCGGUGCGCUGCUUCCUCAGAGCCGCUUCCUCAGAGCCGGCUGCGGCGGGCCCGGGCGGGAACCACGGAGCCCAGUGCACCAGCCUCCUCGGUGCUACCGCGGGACACAGAGGAAACAGGAACAGCUGGUUUCUGUGGGCAGGCCCCGGGCUGGAACUAGAGCCAGGGUGCGGCCGGCGGGGGACAGGGAAAGAGAUCACAGCGAAGACCCAGAAGAAACAAAAGGCAAGCGAAUGUAAGAGCUUCACCACCUUCCCACUCCAGGACGGUGGACAACAAGAGGUUUGAAAGCUGUGAUGUCCUCACUGUCUUCCUUCCCUCUCAUGGAAUGAAAAGUCGUUUUUGCCAGAAUAUUAUACCUGCAAGAUCUCACGGGGAGGAGACUGCAGCCCACCCGCUGGAAAUUUUUGCCUACAGAAAGCUUCCGUUUUUUUGCAACCCAAAGACAGACUUUUAUAGCCUCUCCAACUCCCCUUGAAUUUUUAAGAGAGAGAAAGAAAAGCCCCAAAGUGAAAGAUAGUGGUCAUUUAUGCCUUGGAAAGAUAAACGGGUGUUUUAGUUUUGUUUUUAAAUGAAUUUUCCUUUUCUAAAGAAUUUCAAAAAAUUAGUGGGAGUUGAGGUGAGGCAUGUGUUUUAUAUUUUUAUAUCCACUUUAGUAGGUUUUAAUAUAACGUCUUGAGUCCCUUUUGAAUUUCUUUACGACCCAGGUCAAGCUGCCCUGAUUCAGGUUCCACGCAGCUAAAAAUUAAGUUGUAGCUUCCAUCCAUGUCACAAAUAUGUAAGCUGGGGAGGUAACCUACUAUCAGGCCAUAUUUACAGAAUGGCUAAAAAACUAAGCUAAACUUCUCGAAGAUGUCAAUACCUAAGUGUCUUUGGGAUACUUCCUGAAACUACCUGUGAGAAUCUGUUCAUUUUUUCUUUUAAUUAGGGCUUUAUUUUACUGAAAAAAAAAAUAACUUGAAUGAAGAGAGCCAAAGUACAUGGUGAUGUGAGUGUGAGUCAUGGAACUUGUUCUUUUUUCUGAAUAAUUAUUUCACUUAAGAAGGCAUCCAGAUACAUCCAGAUAAUUUGACUAUUUGCCGACCUCUUGGAUGUACCAUAGAUUCUUAUGCACUGGAUCCUUGAAGACUUAACGCUUCAGGAUGGCAUGCUGGGCACACAAGUUCACUUCCCCCUUGCAAAGCCACAUGACAUUUACGGUAAAGAAAUAAGGCAGAAAUAAAGCCAUGACACUACUGUGACCAGAAGGAAGACCAUCCGAGAGAAAUAUACUUUUGUGAAGUUCUUGGCAAGAAGAAAGAGGAGAGGCCCAGGCCGGGCGCUGUAGCUCAGGCCUGUAGUCCCAGCACUUUGGGAGGCCAAGGCGGAUGGAUUACAAGGUCAGGAGAUCGAGACCAUCCUUGCUAACACGGUGAAACCCCGUCUCUACUAAAAGUACAAAAAAUUAGCCGGGCAUGGUGGUGGGCGCCUGUAGUCCCAGCUAUUGGGGAGGCUAAGGCAGGAGAAUGGCGUGAACCCAGGAGGUGGAGCUUGUAGUGAGCCGAGAUCAUGCCACUGCACUCCAGCCUGGGCAACACUGCAAGACUCCGUCUCAAAAAAAAAAAAAAAAGAAAAGAAAAGAUAAAUAAAAUUGAUAAUUUGACUAUUUGCCAACCUCUUGGAUGUACCAUAGAUUCUUAUGCAUUGGAUCCUUGAAGACUUACACUUCAGGAUGGCAUGCCGGGCACACAAGUUCACUUCCCCCUUGCGAAGCCACAUGACAUUUAUGGUAAAGAAAUAAGGCAGAAAUAAAGUCAUGACACUACUGUGACCAGUGCAGUGGCAUGACCAUAACUCACUGCAGCCUCAAAUUCCUGGGCUCAAGGGAUCCUCCUACCUCAGCCUACUAUGGAGUAGCUGAGACUACAGGCACGUGCCACCAUGCUUAUCUAAUUUUUUUUUUAAGUACUGGUAGAGAUGGGUACCUUGCUUUGUUGCCCAGGCUGGAGUGCAGUGGUGCGAUCUCAGCUCACUGCAACCUC